UGUCAAGCUUCCAAGAAAAGCCCUAUACCCGUUAAGGCAUGAUGGCCUGUACCCGAAACCGACACAGGUGGGGUGGUAGAGAAUACCGAGGGGCGCGAGAUAACUCUCUCUAAGGAACUCGGCAAAAUGGCCCCGUAACUUCGGGAGAAGGGGUGCCACCGCAAGGUGGUCGCAGUGAAGAGGCCCAGGCGACUGUUUACCAAAAACACAGGUCUCCGCUAAGUCGCAAGACGAUGUAUGGGGGCUGACGCCUGCCCAGUGCCGGAAGGUUAAGGAAGCUGGUCAGCGCAAGCGAAGCUAGCGACUGAAGCCCCGGUGAACGGCGGCCGUAACGAUAACGGUCCUAAGGUAGCGAAAUUCCUUGUCGGGUAAGUUCCGACCCGCACGAAAGGCGUAACGAUCUGGGCGCUGUCUCGGAGAGAGGCUCGGCGAAAUAGAAUUGUCUGUGAAGAUGCGGACUACGUGCACCCGGACAGAAAGACCCUAUGAAGCUUUACUGUAGCUUGGUAUUGUGCUCGGGCUCGGAAUGCGCAGGAUAGGUGGGAGGCUAUGAACCAUUGCUUGUGGGUGAUGGUGAGCCACUGGUGAGAUACCACUCUUUCCGAGCUAGAGUUCUAACAGCCACCCGUUAUCCGGGGGCUGGACAGUAUCAGGUGGGCAGUUUGACUGGGGCGGUCGCCUCCUAAAAGGUAACGGAGGCGCGCAAAGGUUUGCUCAGGCUGGUUGGAAAUCAGCCGACGAGUGUAAAAGCAGAAGCAAGCUUGACUGUGAGACCUACAAGUCGAACAGGGAGGAAACUCGGCUUUAGUGAUCCGACGGUUCUGCGUGGAAGGGCCGUCGCUCAACGGAUAAAAGUUACUCUAAGGAUAACAGGCUGAUCUCCCCCAAGAGUUCACAUCGACGGGGAGGUUUGGCACCUCGAUGUCGGCUCAUCGCAACCUGGGGCUGAAGUCGGUCCCAAGGGUUGGGCUGUUCGCCCAUUAAAGCGGUACGCGAGCUGGGUUCAGAACGUCGUGAGACAGUUCGGUCCAUAUCCGGUGCAUGCGCAGGAAUAUUGAGAGGAUUUCUCCCUAGUACGAGAGGACCGGGAGGAACGCACCUCUGGUGUACCAGUUAUCGUGCCAACGGUAAACGCUGGGUAGCCAUGUGCGGAGAGGAUAACCGCUGAAAGCAUCUAAGUGGGAAGCCCACCUCAAGAUGAGUAUUCCCAUGGGGUAACCCAGUAAGGUCACGGGAAGAACACCCGUUGAUAGGCUCUACGUGGAAGCGCAGUAAUGUGUGAAGCGGAGGAGUACUAAUAGACCGAGGGCUUGACC
rnacentral:rRNA from 1 species